rnacentral:tRNA from 1 species
GCCUCGGUAGCGUAGUGGUCAAGACGCUCGCCUGGUAAACAGGAGGGCGUGGGUUCGAUACCAUCCGAGGUA